rnacentral:rRNA from 1 species
AUUGAACGCUGGCGGCAGGCUUAACACAUGCAAGUCGAACGAGUGGCGGACGGGUGAGUAAUGCUUGGGAAUCUGUCUUAUGGAGGGGGAUAACUGCGGGAAACUGUAGCUAAUACCGCGUACCAUAGUAUGAGCCCAAGUGGGAGUAGGUAGUUGGUGGGGUAAAGGCUAACCAAGCCGACGAUCUCUAGCUGGUCUUAGAGGAUGACCAGCCAAACUGGGACUGGGAAAGGGCCCAGACUCCUACGGGAGGCAGCAGUGGGGAAUAUUGCGCAAUGGGGGCAACCUGACGCAGCCAUGCCGCGUGAAUGAAGAAGGCCUUCGGGUUGUAAAGUUCUUUCGGUAGCGAGGCGUUAACUACAGAAGAAGCACCGGCUAACUCCGUGCCAGCAGCCGCGGUAAUAC